GUCUCCGUGGCGCAAUUGGUUAGCGCGUUCGACUGUUACGCGGCGGCGCUUUAGAUCAAGUGCCGGCGAGAGUUUCAUCGAGAGGUUGACAGUUCAAUCCUGUCCGGGGACG
rfam:Puccinia sorghi strain RO10H11247 Scaffold_1066, whole genome shotgun sequence.